UUGGAGAGUUUGAUCCUGGCUCAGGACGAACGCUGGCGGCGUGCCUAAUACAUGCAAGUCGAGCGAACAGAGAAGGAGCUUGCUCCUUUGACGUUAGCGGCGGACGGGUGAGUAACACGUGGGCAACCUACCCUAUAGUUUGGGAUAACUCCGGGAAACCGGGGCUAAUACCGAAUAAUCUUAUUGUCCCUCAUGGGACAAUACUGAAAGACGGUUUCGGCUGUCGCUAUAGGAUGGGCCCGCGGCGCAUUAGCUAGUUGGUGAGGUAACGGCUCACCAAGGCAACGAUGCGUAGCCGACCUGAGAGGGUGAUCGGCCACACUGGGACUGAGACACGGCCCAGACUCCUACGGGAGGCAGCAGUAGGGAAUCUUCCACAAUGGGCGAAAGCCUGAUGGAGCAACGCCGCGUGAGUGAAGAAGGAUUUCGGUUCGUAAAACUCUGUUGUAAGGGAAGAACAAGUACAGUAGUAACUGGCUGUACCUUGACGGUACCUUAUUAGAAAGCCACGGCUAACUACGUGCCAGCAGCCGCGGUAAUA
rnacentral:rRNA from 1 species